rnacentral:lncRNA from 1 species
UGCAGAAAAUCUAAGUUGCCUCGUUAGUUCACCUUGAUGGAAUGUUCGCUUCAAAUUGUGCAAUAGGAGAUACUUGCUCAAACAUUCAAUACUUACGAGACUAUCACCAAACUUCAUGUUGGAUGGAGUAUGAUUAACUUGAAGCUUUUGAUCCAAAUUAAACACCACUUCAUCAUUCUAAAUUCCAAUUGAAGAUUGCCAAAAUUAUUCCCCAAAAUCUACAAUUACAGCAAAUACAAAAAUCAGAUUUUAAAAAACCUCACCUCAAUUCAAUUCCAAAAUUAAUCAGCCU